UACGUAGGGUGCAAGCGUUGUCCGGAAUUAUUGGGCGUAAAGAGCUCGUAGGCGGUUUGUCGCGUCGGCUGUGAAAACUCGGGGCUCAACCCCGAGCCUGCAGUCGAUACGGGCAGACUAGAGUGCUGUAGGGGAGACUGGAAUUCCUGGUGUAGCGGUGAAAUGCGCAGAUAUCAGGAGGAACACCGGUGGCGAAGGCGGGUCUCUGGGCAGUAACUGACGCUGAGGAGCGAAAGUGUGGGGAGCGAACAGG
rnacentral:rRNA from 1 species